UGCCAGCCGCCGCGGUAAUACGAAGGUGGCAACCGUUGCUCGGAUUUACUGGGCAUAAAGCGCGCGUAGGCGGUUACGCAGGUCAUCGGUGAAAUCCUCCGGCCCAACCGGAGAAUAGCCGCUGAAACUGCGUAACUUGAGUACGGGAGGGGAGAGUGGAACUCUUGGUGUAGCGGUGAAAUGCGUAGAUAUCAAGAGGAACGCCGGUGGCGAAAGCGACUCUCUGGACCGUAACUGACGCUGAGGUGCGAAAGCUAGGGGAGCGAACAGGAUUAGAUA
rnacentral:rRNA from 1 species